ACUGUUUACAUUUUCUGCUAAUGGACUUCAACCAUAUCAAUAAUGACUGACAUCAUCAAAUUAAUAACUAAAAGUUCAGGACAGUGUGAUGAUGCCUCUUCAUGUAAUCCCAAUAUUCUUGUUGUUUGAGCUUGUGGAGUUGAUUAUUAGCUCUGUGUGUUUAUGUAAAUCUUCUGUUGCAUAUUUAAACAGCAGACAUGAGUCAGUUUAUACAUUCAUCUGAUCACUAGAGGGAGAGAAGAACAAACUGUGCUGUGAAACACACCAUGAUCUCUUCAUCUUUAGUGUUGCUUCUGGCAGUAGUAUCCUGUAUUCAUUCAUAUGAACUCACUCAGCUUGAGUCUCUGACUGUCCGUCCUGAUGCCACUCUAACUAUCAACUGUAAAGUCUCAUAUUCAGUUACUAGUGAUAAUACAGGCUGGAUUCGUCAGCCUGCAGGAAAAGCUCUGGAAUGGAUUGGCAGGAUCAGGUAUGAUGGAGACUUAUACUACAAGGAUUCACUGAAAAGCAAGUUCAGCAUCACCAGAGACACCUCCAGUAACACAAUAACACUGCAGGGAAAUAAUAUGCAAGCUCAAGACACAGCUGUGUAUUAUUGUGCCAGAGAAUCACAGUGACAGACGCAAACAGCCUCCCUGUACAAAAACAUCAUCAUAUUCACAUUAGGGUAUUGAUCGUUUUGUCCUCAAAAGUUCAAAACCAAUUUUCAUAAAAAUUUUCAUCAUUCACAGCUGAUAUUCAUCUGGUGACAUUAAAAUUUAUGUACAACAACAACCACAACAAUUACCUAAUAAAUAAAACACAUAAUUAACUAAAAUAACCACCAUUAACAAAAACUAAUAAAGCAUUAUUUGUCAAUAGAAAGUCAAUAAAAUCCAUCAGCUCUUGCAUCUCUUUGCUUUCAUCAGGUUAUAAAGUCUG